GUUUGAUCCUGGCUCAGAUUGAACGCUGGCGGCAUGCCUUACACAUGCAAGUCGAACGGUAACAGGUCUUCGGAUGCUGACGAGUGGCGAACGGGUGAGUAAUACAUCGGAACGUGCCCGAGAGUGGGGGAUAACGGAGCGAAAGCUUUGCUAAUACCGCAUACGAUCUACGGAUGAAAGCAGGGGACCGCAAGGCCUUGCGCUCAUGGAGCGGCCGAUGGCAGAUUAGGUAGUUGGUGGGAUAAAAGCUUACCAAGCCGACGAUCUGUAGCUGGUCUGAGAGGACGACCAGCCACACUGGGACUGAGACACGGCCCAGACUCCUACGGGAGGCAGCAGUGGGGAAUUUUGGACAAUGGGCGCAAGCCUGAUCCAGCCAUGCCGCGUGCAGGAUGAAGGCCUUCGGGUUGUAAGCUGCUUUUGUACGGAACGAAAAGACUCUGGUUAAUACCUGGGGUCCAUGACGGUACCGUAAGAAUAAGCACCGGCUAACUACGUGCCAGCAGCCGCGGUAAUACGUAGGGUGCAAGCGUUAAUCGGAAUUACUGGGCGUAAAGCGUGCGCAGGCGGUUAUGUAAGACAGAUGUGAAAUCCCCGGGCUCAACCUGGGAACUGCAUUUUGUGACGGCAUAGCUAGAGUACGGUAGAGGGGGAUGGAAUUCCGCGUGUAGCAGUGAAAUGCGUAGAUAUGCGGAGGAACACCGAUGGCGAGGCAAUCCCCUGGACCCUGUACUGACGCUCAUGCACGAAAGCGUGGGGGAGCAAACAGGAUUA
rnacentral:rRNA from 1 species